rnacentral:rRNA from 1 species
UAUGGGGGGGAGCAAGCGUUGUUCGGAUUUACUGGGCGUAAAGGGCGCGUAGGCGGCCACCGCAAGUCGACUGUGAAAUCUCCGGGCUUAACCCGGAAAGGUCAGCCGAUACUGCGGGGCUAGAGUGCAGAAGGGGCAACUGGAAUUCUCGGUGUAGCGGUGAAAUGCGUAGAUAUCGAGAGGAACACCCGUAGCGAAGGCGGCAUCCUGGACCGGUAUUGACGCUGAUGCGCGAAAGCCAGGGGAGCAAACGGGG